CAUGUGACUCCAGAUGGUCCUCCUCCCUCUCUACUGAUAUACUGUAUCAACUGUUCUCUUCUCUCUCUGCCUCCUCUACAUCACAGACCAACAACACAGACAGUGUCCAUAGUCACCUCGUCACCGAUCUUCAGGAACUUCAGAUCCAUUUCUCUGGACCUCUUCCUGGGUUGACCUGGACUUUAAACACACAGAACCUUUCUGAUCACAUCAGAUCACAGUUUGAUUUAAAGUCAGCUUCUUCAUCUCUCUGAAGAGGAGAUCUCAACACUU